GGUUAAGUCCCGCAACGAGCGCAACCCUUAUCCUUUGUUGCCAGCGGUCCGGCCGGGAACUCAAAGGAGACUGCCAGUGAUAAACUGGAGGAAGGUGGGGAUGACGUCAAGUCAUCAUGGCCCUUACGACCAGGGCUACACACGUGCUACAAUGGCGCAUACAAAGAGAAGCGACCUCGCGAGAGCAAGCGGACCUCAUAAAGUGCGUCGUAGUCCGGAUUGGAGUCUGCAACUCGACUCCAUGAAGUCGGAAUCGCUAGUAAUCGUGGAUCAGAAUGCCACGGUGAAUACGUUCCCGGGCCUUGUACACACCGCCCGUCACACCAUGGGAGUGGGUUGCAAAAGAAGUAGGUAGCUUAACCUUCGGGAGGGCGCUUACCACUUUGUGAUUCAUGACUGGGGUGAAGUCGUAACAAGGUAACCGUAGGGGAACCUGCGGUUGGAUCACCUCCUUACCUUAAAGAAGC
rnacentral:rRNA from 1 species